rnacentral:tRNA from 1 species
GUCUUUAUAUCUUGUUAAUUUUGAAAGUUGACUUUGCUUUUAGCUAAAGACU